UCGGAAGGAUCAUUAAGAUAUAGGUGGCUUUUGCACUAACCCGGAGACGGGCAGUGAUAACAUUCGGCACACUAGUAGGUGGGCGGAGGCUCCUGCCUCCGGCGACCCCUAUACCCUUGUAUAUAUUACCUUUGUUGCUUUGGCGGGCCGCUCGCGCCACCGGCCUAGGCUGGUGAGUGCCCGCCAGAGGACCCCAAACUCUGAAUAUUAGUGUCGUCUGAGUACUAUAUUAUAAUAGUUAAAACUUUCAACAACGGAUCUCUUGGUUCUGGCAUCGAUGAAGAACGCAGCGAAAUGCGAUAAGUAAUGUGAAUUGCAGAAUUCAGUGAAUCAUCGAAUCUUUGAACGCACAUUGCGCCCCUUGGUAUUCCGGGGGGCAUGCCUGUUCGAGCGUCAUUAUAACCCUCAAGCUUAGCUUGGUGUUGGGGCAUACCACGUGGUAGCCCUUAAAAGCAGUGGCGGUGCCGUCUGGCUCUAAGCGUAGUAAUCUCUCUCGCUACAGUCCCCAGGCGGCCACCGGCCAUAACCCCUAACUUUCAAUGGUUGACCUCGGAUCAGGUAGGGAUACCCGCUGAACUUAAGCAUA
rnacentral:rRNA from 1 species